AGAGUUUGAUCCUGGCUCAGGAUGAACGCUAGCUACAGGCUUAACACAUGCAAGUCGAGGGGCAUCAGGAAGAAAGCUUGCUUUCUUUGCUGGCGACCGGCGCACGGGUGAGUAACACGUAUCCAACCUGCCCUUUACUCGGGGAUAGCCUUUCGAAAGAAAGAUUAAUACCCGAUGGCAUAAUGAUUCCGCAUGGUUUCAUUAUUAAAGGAUUCCGGUAAAGGAUGGGGAUGCGUUCCAUUAGGUUGUUGGUGAGGUAACGGCCCACCAAGCCUUCGAUGGAUAGGGGUUCUGAGAGGAAGGUCCCCCACAUUGGAACUGAGACACGGUCCAAACUCCUACGGGAGGCAGCAGUGAGGAAUAUUGGUCAAUGGGCGCUAGCCUGAACCAGCCAAGUAGCGUGAAGGAUGAAGGCUCUAUGGGUCGUAAACUUCUUUUAUAUAAGAAUAAAGUGCAGUAUGUAUACUGUUUUGUAUGUAUUAUAUGAAUAAGGAUCGGCUAACUCCGUGCCAGCAGCCGCGGUAAUACGGAGGAUCCGAGCGUUAUCCGGAUUUAUUGGGUUUAAAGGGAGCGUAGGUGGACUGGUAAGUCAGUUGUGAAAGUUUGCGGCUCAACCGUAAAAUUGCAGUUGAUACUGUCAGUCUUGAGUACAGUAGAGGUGGGCGGAAUUCGUGGUGUAGCGGUGAAAUGCUUAGAUAUCACGAAGAACUCCGAUUGCGAAGGCAGCUCACUGGACUGCAACUGACACUGAUGCUCGAAAGUGUGGGUAUCAAACAGGAUUAGAUACCCUGGUAGUCCACACAGUAAACGAUGAAUACUCGCUGUUUGCGAUAUACAGUAAGCGGCCAAGCGAAAGCAUUAAGUAUUCCACCUGGGGAGUACGCCGGCAACGGUGAAACUCAAAGGAAU
rnacentral:rRNA from 1 species